AAAUUUUUUGCGCACAAUAUAAGACGCAGUUGGAAACGUGCGUUUACGUUAGAGGCUGUUAAGUCACGUUGCACGAAUCGUGGAUCUAAAAACACAUAUUCCACGUCGUGGCUUGGGAGACGAGUUUUAGGGGCAUCGCAUUCAAUUACGUUAGGACAAGAUCGGCAGUGUGAAACGUUCGUGCACCGUUAUCAAACGCUGUCAAAGCCGCUUAUCGGCAGAUUAUAUACGCGGCCGCGGAAACGAUCAAACGCGAAGGGCACCAAAAGUUUUGUGGUUUUUCGCGAGGAUCAUCGGCCAGCUUUGACCGCUGGGUAGAUGUCUCUCGGGCUGGUGCACGAAAACAAACUGCAAUUUCGAACGCAUUCUGCCGCACCAAGGCUGUCUAUCUAUAUGGAUUGUUGGCAGACGCAUCGCUCUCGAGCAAUGCAAAUAACCUUGCUCGAUUGCGCUAUGCGUUUCGUCUGAGUCAUAAGCAUUCGCGUCGAAAACGUCUGAUCGUGUGACGUUACGAAACAGAAACAAGCCGAGACUCGCACGGGUUGCGGGCUGUCAGCACGCGACAUCGAAGGCAAUCGCGUUUCUCGGCCGAAUAAACGAAAUUAUUCGAAUUUUGACGUACCUGCAUGCCUCGAGAGAUGAUUUUCACCCCGGCCUCUUCUACACACCCCACUCACAGAAAAACAUGGCGGCUACUGAAGCUUUGGUGCCCCUCCCCCUUUCGUUGCUGCCAAUUGGUCGGUUCUUGCACAAGAUUCGAGAUGCGUUCCUAAAAUCGUUCCUCUCAACACCGCUCUGUGCCAUAGACUAAAUAUCCUGUUAGAAAAAACAUUAGAAUUUAGGAAUGAAAUGUUUCAAACGACUUGUGAUAUUAAUUUUAAUCCAUUCUUUGCGUAAUUGGCUACGCUGGAUGCUUUUAUAAUUUUCGAGGAAUAAAUUCAUCGCAUCGCGAGAAGAGAGCAUUUCAAGGAAAACAACAAUUAUCCAGGCACUGACAUGUGUUACUUGCAGCGAAUUUCCUCCCGAUUCAGAACAUGGACAAUUUUCUAUACAAGAUCUGGCUUGGAUAAUGACAUCUUCGGUCCAAGCCGUUACAAAAACCAAAAUAGUGGAUAGAAAAGGCAAUAUUCCUACAAUAUAUAUUAGGGGGACCGGGAAGUUAUGUCGUUUGUUUACAUUAAAUUCAAACAGAUAAAUAUGCGCAGAAACGACAUUACUUUCCGGUCCCCCUAAUAGAACGCUUAUGAAGGGUACAGACAUGGUGGUAUCAAUAAGCAAUUGAUGUGAUAACGUUGAGACAGAACUUACAUUAAUAAUGGUUGUUACAAGACCAAUUUUGGAUUAUGUUAUAUUUUGCCACCAAGAAAAUCUUAGUUGGCCAUUUAUCGAAGGUAAAAGAUUGAAAGAAAAAUUUGAUAAAAUAUUUGACAAUGCAAAUUUGUGUCGCACAACUAUUUCUCGACUAGAGAAGAUAGAGAAAAGAAAAAUGAGAGAGAGAUCAGAGAAGACGAUUGAAGACUGCAAUAGAGAAAGUAGAGGAAAUGAAAAACGAAUUGGAACCUCUAGCACAGAGGAUUAGAAAUUUGGGAGAAAUAGGUACUGAAUAUAAAGAUUUACAAAUUCGAGAAAGUAAUUCCUUUAAAACAAUAAUGAAACUUCUUUCAACGGAGCUUAUAAGUUUAUAAUUGCAAUCUCUUUUCAAAAAGAAAGAAUGCAGAGUAUAACUUAUCUCUAAACAGCAAAUGGUAAGAUUAAAAGAGAAUAUAAAAGAAGAGUUUGUUAGUUCAGUGGAGGAAUUAUUGACUGAUAGAAAUAUAUGAUGAUAAACUGGAGAGAAAUGUUGUUACGAUAAAAGGAAAGUUCUACAUUAUCUCUCCACUUGUCCUUCAGCUUGUAAACAAAAACGGACAAUUUGGUAAGAGGGGAUACGAUUAUUCGAGCCUUGCGCCUCGUUUUUAUAGUUGUUGACAAUCGGCACAGACGACUAUAACGGAAUUGAGAACAAGAAGUCUAAUUCCGAAAAAAGAUUACAGUUGACCGAAGAUAUCAUGAGUGAUAUGAUGUAUGGAGAUGCAUUAAUGACGCAAUAAAACGUAGACGAUUGAUAGUUUCUAAUUACGUGUGAUCAAUGUAUUAAAUCAGAGCGCACCAUUGGAGAAGCUCGAAGAGGAAGAAAGGAAGAAGAAAGAAAAUUGGGAGACACUGGAUAUGGAUAGAAAAAUACGUAUGAUACUGUGAAGUGGGAAGUCAAAAUUUGGAGAUGAACGAUGUAAAGAAAGGACUAUCAUCUGAAGACAAAAGUAGUGAACAUUUAACACAGUUGCGAAAUAAAGCAGAGGGAAAUUCACGCGGAAAAUUAUAUAAUGAUAGUUUAUGUCAGAGGAAAAGAUCUACUGAGGAGACCGAGAACAAGGAUCACGCUGAAGCUAUAGCUUUGAAGAAGAGAUAUGUUCUUAAUAUGUAAGACCUAUACUCUACCUCAUUCAAUGCUUGCGGUUAAUUAAAACCAGACGUUACUUAUGAAAAAGCGCCUAACAUCCGUACCAGGUCCUCCACCAUACUAAGCCCAUGUGGGACUGCGAGAAUAACCGGCAACCGGCUUAGAAUUACGAAGCAGGUAGAGAAACUGCUUCUCCUCUGGUUGGUUGACGCUUCACAGCUAAACAGUGUUGCUCUCAUAUAUUAGACAAAAGGAGGGAGUGGCAUGCGAGCAAGAGAGUACGAUGUCGGCAUAACCACAAACGAAACAGGUCACACCGACGACCAAUGUCGACCAUUUUGUCUCACUUUACUAUGUUUGCGAUCUCACUCUAUUCGCGCAACCGUUUACCUGGUGCUCCAUUUGAAACACUUGGUGCGAUAUUCGACUUGUAUUUUUCAACACAAACUGUUUCAUUGAUUUAUUCGAUCGAUCUGUUCCGAACAAACUAUUCCAUAUAUUUAUUCGGACAAGCCAUUUUAUAUCUAUUUUAAAUAUUCAAACAAACUAUUUCAUCUAUCUUUUUAGACAUUUGAAUCAUAAAUGGGAUUUGUUAACAUUUUCUUCAUGGAAUAAACAUGCGUCUAAUAUACAAUUUUUCAAUUUGUAUGCUAUGAAGUAACGGUUUCGGGGAAGAAAGUAUCCAAACCGGCAAUAAAACGCUUAAUUAUA